UCCUUUUCUCCUUCUCCCUUUCAAAAUCGCAUUCGUUUUCUCUUUUCAAAGACAUAGCAAAAAUGUUUAUUGUUGUUUCUGAAUAAGAGAGGAAAACCACAGUGAAGAAGUUUAGUUCCUGCUUCAUGGAACAUCCUUCCUCCAGAAGAGUGAUCUGGCCAGUACUUAACACCAGUACCCUCUGUUGGGUCACCAUGGAUUCUUUUUUCUCUGAAGAAGUUAAGCACGUGUUCCACGGCCUGCGACCUGCGAGAGGUCUCGCACUGUUUGUCAUUGUGAUCUGUGGGCUGCCGUGCGUGUUGCAGGGAGCACGAUGGCUGUGGACACAGCUGCCCGUGUCGGUGACUCAGGAGCGCCGUCUGCGUUGAGUGCUGCUGUGUCAGCACAGACAUGUCCAGAGCCCGGGCAGCACUCAGGCUCACAGGCUGGUGACUCUACUCGUCAGGAAUCUCCCCAGGCACAAGGUCCAGCCUUCCAAAAUGAUGCUUCAGGUUUAUUUCUUAUCAGAUUCAAGAUGCACACCCACGAGGGAAUGGACCUUCCCAGUUAUCCAUAACACAGCCUCAGUGGUGCUGGAGUCCCGUGUAAUUAACAAACCCUUGGAGACGUUUGUUUGCACGUGUGCAUCAAGAUAACCUGAAUUUUAGGGCCUGACCGUGGCCGUUGAGCAUGCAUUGCGUAUCUGCUUCAGACAUUCCCUAUGGCAAGAACAAAGGCCCUUGAGAUAAAGGUGCAACUUCUCUCCCCCUCCCAACGUUGGCAUUUCCUUAAGGAUUAAGCAUCUUUCCUUAGGCUAGAAACUGAUUGCUGUGCUCACCUGUGACCACCCAGCUCGAGACAAUAGACUUGCCCCUGCUACGCCGUCUGAGAUAGCAGACCCACUACCUGCUGUGUCCAUCAAGUACUGUGCCGACAGGGCAAUCUCGUGACUAUUGUGGGAGGGACAUUUCAAUCCUUUGUGAAACAUCCUGUUUGGGGGGUAAAUAACCACUCUGUAUACCUCACAUCCUUGGUGCCCUUUCAGGAAGAAAGGCCCCGGGCCAUGGUCCUCAGAUUUCAGCUCAGAAUAAACUCUCCCAAAUUUUCAUUUACAGAUUGGUUAUGGAUUAUUUUCGUGGACAGUUGUCAGCUCAGGUACCCAUCUUAAGGAAAAAUAACCGUUUUAAAUCUGAACCUUUUCACUUACCAUCUUUUACCAUCGGGCAGCACUUCAAGGAUGAAGUAAAUCGAGCAGGCAGUUGGUUCCCACCGGCUUGCACUCCUGGACGGGGAUUCCCACCAGGCUGAACAGGCAGGGCAGGCACGUGGGCAGACGCUGGUGCCCUCACCACCACCCGGUCCAGGAGCGCUGGGCGGCCCGCGCUGCCCUUUUGAAGGAAGGUGUGGCCACAUGAUUUCCCUUGGCCAAUGAGGGGCGAGCAGAGUAACGUGCGUCACUUCCGGCGCGGGGGUGGGGGGGCGGGGUGGGGAAGUUUUAAGAGCCAGCAGUCAUCACCUCCCAUGCCCCCCACCCUUUGGCCGCUGGGAUUCCGGCGGCAUGUGGAGGGAGCUUCUGGCCCAGCUUCCGGUGAGCCGCCGCCUGCCCACACCUCGAGGCCUCUGCUGUGCCAGGGAGGCUCCGACUGACCCCUGCACGAGGCCCACGUCCGGUCACUUGGCCGCCUCAGGAUAGCGGCCUUCCCGGAGCGGCCGCCUCCCGUCCUCGCGCCCCAGCUUCCGGUCCAGGUCCUGCUGUGCCCCACCUGGGUGCAGCCCGCCCGGAGUCCACCGCGGCGAGGCCCUCCAGCGGGCCUGGAGUCGAGCCCCUGGGGCGGCGGGCCCUGGGCCGUCCGGGCGAGCUCCCGAGGCAGCGCCCCCGCUCCUCGCCCCUCCACGAGGCCGGCCUCGGGGGCCCGGCCUGGCGCCGCCAGGCCCCAGCGCCGCGGGGGCACUUGGUCCUGUUGGGUUGGCGCGCUGGGCACGACUCAGUUCUCUUUACUUGGAUUGGCAUCGGGAUCAGAGACCAAACUUUCAGUAACAUCAUAAAAACGUAAAAAGGAUCGAACAAAUAAAUACUUGGUGAAUAAUGAGAGCCACAUUUCUCAACUAGAAGAAAGAAGUUACAAAUAAGGAAGGGGGAAGCAAGAAUGAACCCUGUGGUGUUGGAAUAAGCGGAAUAAGCAUAAACCCAUGAUUUUUGGUGUAUGUACAGAUGGGAUAAAGAAGUAAAUAUCGAUUAUAUUUGCACAUAUUUUCUAGCUCAUAUUUUCUAUACAUGACAUCCCAGUAGCAAUGAGCACACCUAACUCCUGUAUCUUGGUUCCUGAAUACCAUUCUUCAAAAAAAAGGAGCCAAGGUUCCUUGUAGAUUGGUCAACUCUAACAUUAAGCCAAGGAAAAUAUACAAUUAGUCUGGAACAUUGUGUGGGGCCAGAAAGUAAGGAAAUACUCGAAAACUAAUGGGGCCAUGUUGAAAGGACACAGCUGCCAACUUGAAAGAGUGCCACAUGGUGAAAAUUGGGAUAAUUUGAGCAAUAACAAUGAUAGUAAUGGGAUAUACCCCAUAGAAUAAAGUAACUGUGAGUCCAAAUUGAUAUAAAUAAUUGAAUGAACCUUUCAGUCUGUGAGAAAGGACCAUUCUUCCUUAGAGUAGGAUUCCAAUUAAUAAAUGUAGAUGAAAUGGUGGAAAUAAAAGUCACUGUCAGGCAAACAGUAAUAACUUGCAGGCAGUAACUGUCAUUGGUGUUAUAAUUAAUGAGCAAAAGUACAGUAAGAAGGAUUAUUUGCAUAGUAUCAAAAUUUCUCUCCUAUAGAUUUCAAAGGGAAAAGCAAUGUCUUUAUAGUGGAAAAACCUGGCAGACACUGCCGUGGCCAUGUGACCGAAGUUAACAGCACCAGUAACAGGACAUACAGAUGUUGUGUAGCCUUUGAUGCAGUACACUGAGAAGGGCACAGCAUAACCUUGAUGGUAUUCUCACAGGAAAAAAGUGCAAUUAUGAGAAAUCAUCAGACAUCCAAAAUUGAAGGACACUUUGUAAACUAACUGGCCAGUAUACUUCAAAACUGUCAAGAUGAUGGCAGAUAAAAAAAGACUAAGGGACUUUCACAGAGUAGAGGAGAUUUAGGAGAUGUGACAACUAAAUACCACCUGGCGUCCUGGAUUGGGCCCUGAGCCAGAUCUUAUUUGAAUUUUAUCAAUUUCCCCAGUGGUCCAUGGAUUGGUUAGUAGUACUGUAUGAAUGUUAAUUUCCUGGCUUUGAUAAUUGUACUAUGGUUUUGUAAGAUGUUAAUGUUAGGGAAGUGGGAUGAGGAUAUCAGGGAAUCCUGGACUAGUUUUGCAACUUUUCUGUCUAAAGUUAUUUCAAAAUAAAAAUUAAAAAGCAAUAGCUGGUAAAGAGGAACAAGGGGAGACACAGAAUUAUUUGCCUUUUUUAGAAGCCUUAAGAGGCCAAGUCUUGAAUUGUUACAACUGAAAAGAGUAGCAACCACAUAUGGUCUUGUUUACUUUAACCUAAAUCUUAUUUAAAUCAUCCAUAUUCAGAGAAUGCUGUUUAAAAACGACCCAAACAGGGGCCAGCCCAGUGGUGUAGUGGUUAAGUUCACACACUCUGCUUCAGCGGCCUCGGGUUCACCAGUUCAGAUGCUGGGCAUGGACUUAGAACUGCUCAUCAAGCCAUGCUGUGGGGGCAUCCCACAUAAAAUAGAGGAAGAUAGGCACAGAUGUUAGCUCAGGGACAAUCUUCCUCACCAAAAAAAAGACCUGAACAGAUGGACUAGUUUUUCCUCCUUUGGUGAAACACAGCUAGAAAUAAGAGAUAAGCCAGAGACAUUAGAUGUUCAUGUCUCAAAUUCUGUGUACGAAAGUCCUUAUGCUUUGCUCCAAGGAGAUGCCCUCAGUCCUCUUCUGGGCCUGCUCAUUCUCCCUUCAUACGUAGUCCUAUCAGAGUUGGCUCUGGUUCUGUGGCUUGUAGUAGAUGAGAAGAGAGUAAUGUAUCUGAUUACUAUACAGGCAGAUCUGUGGUGAGUGACCCCAGUAGUGCAUGCACUGAGUCAUAAGGUUUUGUAAAUUUUGCAAAGGUUAGGCCUGCCUGUUGCCCCUCUGACUCGCCCUGGAGCACGCUUCACCUCCUGUCAGAUAGUGCUGGAGUGGCUGCAGGCAUCUCUGAGCUGCAGCUCAGUAAAGUUGGUUAGGGUUUAUUGGGAUAUAUUUGUAUAUUGUGCAGUCACGUCUGUGUAUUGCUUAUCAUUGCUAGCUGACCCGCAGUGGGAGUGUCCUCCGUGAACUUGCCCAUUGUCCAACUGUAUCUAAUUUUGUAUCUGUCAUUUUCUGUUCUUUUUCUGAAAGAACACCUCUGUUCCCCCUGCUCAUUGUGUGAGCUUCAGGCCCCUAAAAAUUUGAAUCCACCCUUAGCAAUGACACUAAUUUGAAGGAAGAGCUAGUUAGAGAUGUUGUAACAAGGAAUUAAGAAGGGAAAAAGAAUCUUAUUAAUUAAUGUAAACAACAGAUCAAAAAACAUAGUGCUCUGGGGGCGUAGCAGUUGGAGUCCCGGGGUUCGCUAGUUUGGUUCCCGGGUGUGGACCGAGCGCUGCUUGGCAAGCCGUGCUUUGGUGGUGUCCCACAUAUAAAAUAGGGAGAGAUGGGCGUAGAUGUUAGCUCAGGGCCCCUCUUCCUCAGCAAAAAGAGGAGGAUUGGUGGCAGAUGUUAGCUCAGGGCUAAUCUUCCUCCUCAAAAUAAAACCAAAAAAACCCUAGUGCUCUGGGGCUAUUUAGCAUGUGGAUUAAGAUCCAACAAACUUUGGUAGCUCCUAAGGCCAUCAUUGUAUUGAAGCAUGUGUGAUAAUUGAUAUUAGUGGUAAUGAUCCUGAGUCAUGAAGAAAAGCUUAAACUGUUGAAUACACUCUGAUAAAAAAUGCAGAGAAGUAUAUAAUUCAUUUAAGGAAGAUUUCCUUUUUAAAUGUUUACAAUAAAAAUGUUGAUGCUUAUACAUCUAAAUCUUCAGUUAUCUAGAAGACAUACUGAAGAAUAGUUGUUUAUCCAGGGAUUUCAGUGGCUGGGGUUUCAGUCUAGUUUGGUUGGGUGAAGCUGUGCUGGUGGGUUACGAUCCUUAUUCUGAAAAUAGAGUAGAGCGUUAGACCAGUCAAUUGGAUCAGAUUUCCUGUGACAGUGACCUGAAUCCUUCCUGCAUGCAUUUUUAGUUUUUCUCACAGAAGAGUUACCAAUGACAUAAAAAGUCCUGGAGAACUAAGAUUUUUGCUAAAGAUGCUUUGUGGAGGUAGAAUGGUAUCAGAGAGGCUAUCGGCCACACAGCCAAACAGAUGCACUUGUACUUGCAAAAAGAAAAAAAAAUCAGACAAAGUAGGACAAAUACUGUAUAAUUUCACUUGUAUGAAAUACCUAGAGUGGUCAAAUUGAUAGAGACAUAAAGUAGAAGGCUGGGUGCUGGGGGUGGGGGCAAUGGGGAGUUAGUGUUUAAUGGUUGCAGAGUUCCAGCUCAGGAAGAUGAAGCAGUUCUGGAGAUGGAUGGUGGCGAUGGUGGUACAACAGUGCGAAUGUGCUUAAUGCCACUGAACUCUGCACUUGAAAAUGGUUAAAAUGGUAAAUUUUGUGAUGUGUAUAUUUUACCACAAUAAGAAAAAGUAAAAAGUAAGGCAACAAUCAAUGAGCAACAGAAAUUGACUGCUUACAAUGUGUCAAGCACGGUACUAAAUAUUACUUCCCGUAUUAUUGUGUUGCCUUUAGCAGCUCAGUAACUCAACAAAGUAGGUAUUAGUUAGUCCCAUUCUCCAGGUGAGGAAACCACGGCCCAGAAAGGCUAAGUAACUGGUCAAGGUCAGAGAGCAGGUAAGUGUUAGGCCCAGGAUUCAGACCCAGGUGGCAGACGUGCUUCACAACGUCAAAAUCUUGCAGACGCAGGUUUGAUCACCAGCAGUACACUCGGCAUGCAGUGAGCAUCUAAUAAAUGUUUAAAAAACCAUUAUUGUCAUGACUGUGAACUGAGUGUGAGAAGUUGGUUCUGUCUUUACUAACUCUUACCCUAAAACUUGGUGCUUUUACCUUUGUAGUAGAAGCACAAAAGCCAUGAUAAAGAAUCAACAUGGAACAUGUCUCCAAUUUAGGCAACACACGAAAGAGCUGGGUUUUGGUGAUAACGCAAAUGAAUCCUUUUUGUCCUGUCGUAAGCCAGUGCCUGGAGUCACCUGAACUGGCUCUUAGGCCUUUUGAGCUGGGGCCCAGCCAGGCCACCGCACAUGUUUGGACUACAUUUUGAUGACUCAGGUUUACUGGAAAGUUCUUUGAGGCCAUGUAAGUAAUAGGGACCAUCUUUGAACCACAUAGUUGAUCUAAGCAUUCUAGGGCAGAAAAGCACAGCAGUGAAGCCUGCUUCAGUCCUGCCCUGCUCUUGUGUCUUUGAAGCUGGGGAGACGGCCCCUCAGGUCUGAGGGCUGGAGGAGGAGGCUCAACCUCAAGCUGCAGAUUCAGCCAGCCUCCCUGCAGCCAGGAGCUCAGCAUGCAGGCUGCCCUUCCUGAAAGUGUUUCCCUUGGCCAACCCGUGAGGACUGCCUCUUGUUAGGCUAAACCCUGGACUGAAAGCUGGUUAUUUUCUCAAACGGUUGCUGGGAAGACUUCUAAGUAUUUGAACCCAUGUCCUUCAGAUUCUAAACCUCAUGCUCCAAACCAAUAACCUUUAACUUUUUGGCUUGUUGAGUUCCUUCCGAUUAUUACUUAACUUUGAGCUUUUCUAAGCAAGCCAGUCAUUUACUGAAGAACCACUACGUUAUGGUGGUGGAGAGUGAGGUGGGGUGGCAACAGCUUCAUUUUAAAUGUGUCAUUUCAGAAGGCUUGCCCCUCUAAUCCAGUGAGGCAUGAACACACCCCCAGGGGCAGGUCUGUGCUCAGGGAUCCAAAUUCUCCUUCUCCAGGCACGCUGGGGUGUGUACGGCCCCAGAGAAGCCCCUAAUCUGAGGAUUUAGCACCGGGCUUCUCAACUCUGGUACUCUUAACACUGGGGGCCAGGUCUUCCUUUUGUGAGGGAGGUACAUUCUAGAUGUAGCAGCAACUUUGACUUCUACCCAUUGGAUGCCAUAGCACACCCCCUGCCCCCAGUUGUGACAACCAAAACAAUCUUGAGACAUUUUUGUGUCCCCUGGGGGCAAAAUCAUCCUGGUUUAGAACCGUGCUUACCAGCAGGCUUGGAGUCACUGCUGCAAAUCCAGCAUCCAGUCUGCUCCUUCUGCCACCAGGCUUCCUCCCCGCUAGGCCUCUUGCAAGGAUGUUUGUGUACUCAGUACCAGCCUGGCCUGGCCUUCUGCUCCACAGCCUGGAACAGGCCCUCACAUGUUCCUAGACCCUGACGCUUCAGUCAGGGGAUCACUGGACCACUCCCAUUUGGAGAACCCUGUCCCAGCAGAGAUCUGUGGAGGUCUGCGUCUGUCAGGACGUCUUCCCUCCAGUUGGUCCCAGUUUCACUCUACCUGGCAUCCAUUUCUCAGAGGCUGAGACUUGGAGUUGUGGCUGUCUCCUAGUUUCACUGAAGAUGGUGCAGGUCUUUAUUUUUCUAUUUUAUUCUUCUAAAAUUUUACUUGGCUUUAGUGAAGGAAGUUAAACUGAACUAUCUAUUCUGUGACCUCCACCUGGAAGCCUUGAUCCAAUUUUACUUUCUGUGUCACACUACUAUGAGAGGGAGAGGAGGAGGGAGAGAUGAGUGUCUGAGCCAGUGCAUGCAGAGCUUUGAUGUGCUCUGCUUCUCCUAUAUUGAUGAUAGAAUUGAGCUAAAGAAGGUGCACUGAGCUCCUCAUAGAACUAUUGAAUUUCAGAAAAACAUGCAAAAAAUCUUAAUUAUGGGAAUAAGAUGAUGGAAAAUUGCUUUAGGAAAUUGCCAUAAAUAUACAGUGCAUUAAAUGUACCUAUUAAUUUUAUUACUACUUAAUGACAGAAUCUUUUCUAUCUCUGUCCACUCAGAUGAAGACAGAAACAUACUCUGUUCUCCAUUUGAGCACCUGAAAGGUCCAGGUUCUCAGGGCCCCAUCCUGAGGCAGGCUCGCUGUCUUCCAUUUGUGUCUGCUCCAGACUUACUGCCGUCAGACAGCCGGCAGGGGUCCCACGGGUCCAGGUGCACAGAUCAUUUUAAUUCAGCUUGUUCUGUGAAGCACAUUAAAUGCUUUUCAUACAUUUAGAUAUCUUAAAAGCGGUUUUGCAUGACAGUGACUAUAAUAAUUCUGGUAUAGGUAGAAAGUGCUUAGUGAUUUCUGGGGGGCUGACCUCAGUGGGGGAUCCCUUUCUCCCCUCAGUCUUCUCCUUGCUCUACUCUCAUCCUUGCUUUCCCUCCCACAUCUUUCCUUCCUCUCCUUUCCCCUCUUCCCUCUUUCCUUUCUUUUCUCUCCUUCAUUCUCUCUCACUCCCUCCCCCUUUCUCCCUCUCUGCACCACCCCUUGCCGUGUGUGUGCACACACCCACACCUCCCCUGUCACACACAUGCAUGCCCCUCCUACUCCUAGCCCUCUUUUUUCUCAGCCCUAUCAAGAGUUUAUAUAUGUCAAGAAAUAGUAAUUUUAG
rnacentral:lncRNA from 1 species